ensembl:miRNA
UUAAGGUGCUCAAAGAACAGUAUCUUGGCUACAGGAAAAUGUUUUUGGGAGAUGCUGUAGAUGUGUUUGAAGCCAGGCGAACAGAAGCCAAGAAGUGGCAGAACGCACCC